GACGAAGGAUGCAAGCGUUAUCCGGAUUCAUUGGGUUUAAAGGGAGCGUAGGCGGUCCUGUAAGUCAGUGGUGAAAUCUCUCGGCUUAACCGAGAAAUUGCCAUUGAUACUGCAGAACUUGAGUACAGUUGCUGUGGGCGGAAUAUGACAUGUAGUGGUGAAAUACAUAGAGAUGUCAUAGAACACCGAUUGCGAAGGCAGCUCACAAAACUGUAACUGACGCUGAGGCUCGAAAGUGCGGGGAUCAAACAGG
rnacentral:rRNA from 1 species